GACGAACGCUGGCGGCGUGCUUAACACAUGCAAGUCGAACGGAAAGGCCCUGCUUGCAGGGUACUCGAGUGGCGAACGGGUGAGUAACACGUGGGUGAUCUGCCCUGCACUUCGGGCUAAGCCUGGGAAACUGGGUCUAAUACCGGAUAGGAGCCAUUCUUAGUGUGAUGGUUGGAAAGUUUUUUCGGUGUAGGAUGAGCUCGCGGCCUAUCAGCUUGUUGGUGGGGUAAUGGCCUACCAAGGCGGCGAGGGGUAGCCGGCCUGAGAGGGUGGACGGCCACAUUGGGACUGGGAUACGGCCCAGACUCCUACGGGAGGCAGCAGUGGGGAAUAUUGCACAAUGGGCGCAAGCCUGAUGCAGCGACGCCGCGUGGGGGAUGACGGCCUUCGGGUUGUAAACUCCUUUCGCUAGGGACGAAGCUUUUUGUGACGGUACCUAGAUAAGAAGCACCGGCUAACUACGUG
rnacentral:rRNA from 1 species